rnacentral:rRNA from 1 species
AGAAUCAACGCUGGCGGCGUGCCUCAGACAUGCAAGUCGAACGCGAAAGUCCCCUUCGGGGACAAGUAGAGUGGCGCACGGGUGAGUAACACGUAGGUAAUCUACCUUCGGAUGGGGAAUAACAACCGGAAACGGUUGCUAAUACCGCAUAAUGCAGCGGCACCUAAUGGUGACAGUUGUUAAAGCGGGGAUCGAAAGACCUCGCGUCUGAAGAGGAGCCUGCGGCGGAUUAGCUAGUUGGUAGGUAACGGCCUACCAAGGCGACGAUCCGUA